UAAAACUAUAAUAGUUUUGUUUGUGGAAACACCAUGCACGUAAAUUUAUUACUGCAGUAAUAAAUUUACGUGGUGUUUCCACAAACAAAACUAUUAUAUGUUUUAUCGCCAUGC
rnacentral:miRNA from 1 species